AGGGAUCAUUACCAGAACGCCCGGGCUUCGGCCUGGUUAUUCAUAACCCUUUGUUGUCCGACUCUGUUGCCUCCGGGGCGACCCUGCCUUCGGGGGGGGGCUCCGGGUGGACACUUCAAACUCUUGCGUAACUUUGCAGUCUGACUAAACUUAAUUAAUAAAUUAAAACUUUUAACAACGGAUCUCUUGGUUCUGGCAUCGAUGAAGAACGCAGCGAAAUGCGAUAAGUAAUGUGAAUUGCAGAAUUCAGUGAAUCAUCGAAUCUUUGAACGCACAUUGCGCCCCCUGGUAUUCCGGGGGGCAUGCCUGUUCGAGCGUCAUUUCACCACUCAAGCCUCGCUUGGUAUUGGGCAACGCGGUCCGCCGCGUGCCUCAAAUCGUCCGGCUGGGUCUUCUGUCCCCUAAGCGUUGUGGAAACUAUUCGCUAAAGGGUGUUCGGGAGGCUACGCCGUAAAACAACCCCAUUUCUAAGGUUGACCUCGGAUCAGGUAGGGAUACCCGCUGAACUUAAGCAUAUCAAUAAGCGGAGGAAAAGAAACCAACAGGGAUUGCUCUAGUAACGGCGAGUGAAGCAGCAAUAGCUCAAAUUUGAAAUCUGGCGUCUUCGACGUCCGAGUUGUAAUUUGUAGAGGAUGCUUCUGAGUGGCCACCGACCUAAGUUCCUUGGAACAGGACGUCAUAGAGGGUGAGAAUCCCGUAUGCGGUCGGAAAGGCGCUCUAUACGUAGCUCCUUCGACGAGUCGAGUUGUUUGGGAAUGCAGCUCUAAAUGGGAGGUAAAUUUCUUCUAAAGCUAAAUAUUGGCCAGAGACCGAUAGCGCACAAGUAGAGUGAUCGAAAGAUGAAAAGCACUUUGGAAAGAGAGUUAAAAAGCACGUGAAAUUGUUAAAAGGGAAGGGAUUGCAACCAGACUUGCUCGCGGUGUUCCGCCGGUCUUCUGACCGGUCUACUCGCCGCGUUGCAGGCCAGCAUCGUCUGGUGCCGCUGGAUAAGACUUGAGGAAUGUAGCUCCCUCGGGAGUGUUAUAGCCUCUUGUGAUGCAGCGAGCGCCGGGCGAGGUCCGCGCUUCGGCUAGGAUGCUGGCGUAAUGGUCGUAAUCCGCC
rnacentral:rRNA from 1 species